rnacentral:rRNA from 1 species
GUCCUUUAGAUAUUAAUUUAAGGUCUAACCUGCCCACUGAAUAAUUUUUGAAUGGCCGCAGUAAUUUGACUGUGCAAAGGUAGCAUAAUCAUUAGUUUUUUAAUUAAAAGCUUGUAUGAAAGGUUGGACGAAGUAAAAUCUGUCUCUAAUUAAAUUAAUUUAGAAUUUAACUUUUAAGUUAAAAGGCUUAAAUUUAACUAAAAGACGAGAAGACCCUAUAGAUCUUUAUAUUUAAAUUAUUAGAUUUAAUUAUGAAUUUUUAAAAUUUUAUUAAUUUAAAUAUUUUAUUGGGGUAAUAUAAAGAUUAAAAUAAUUCUUUUUUUUUAUUUACAUUAAUUUAUGAUUUUUAUGAUCCAAUUUUAUUGAUUAAAAGAUUAAGUUACCUUAGGGAUAACAGCGUAAUUUUUUUAGAGAGUUCUUAUCGAUAAAAAAGUUUGCGACCUCGAUGUUGGAUUAAAGAUUAUUUUAGGUGCAGAAGUUUAAAAAUUUUGGUCUGUUCGACCAUUAAAUCUUUACAUGAUCUGAGUUCAGACCGGUGUAAGCCAGGUCGGUUUCUAUCUUUAGUAAAUUAAAAUAUUUUAGUACGAAAGGACCAAUUAUUUAAUAUAUUAAUAUUUAUAAUUUUGAUUAUUAUUAA